rnacentral:sRNA from 23 species
GUCAACUACCCCCACUUAACGCCUAGCGGCGUUUGAAGUGGGGGCUUGGGGAAACGUGUAAGCCAGGCUUAUACGCCCUCAGGCCCGGUUGAUUAUGCCUUAGUGGUCGGGAUGUUUACCGAAAGGGGACAGCGAACCACUACGUUAAGCCGGAAUAGAUAGGCACCCUGGGAUCCUCCACACGUUCCAGGCUCUGCG